CCGGUCAUCUCCUUCAUCUCUUCGCCGAAAAACACGAAGCCAACACCACCACAACCUCCACCAUCACUUUACUAAGCGUAAUCACAUCGUAACUAAUUAUUCGCUAUCUAAAAAUCAAUUCUUCACCUUUUCGACCCUUUCCCCCUGUCAUCUUCUUCUCUCAAUCUCACUAUUCAAGAAACUCAUUUCAUUUUUAGUAAUCAACUUCAAAAAUCCCAUUUUUUAGAUCCUAUUUUUGCUAAAACAAUCCUUUUUUUAAACCCAUUUUAAUCCAGAUCGAGCAUCAUGCUGGAUCGAUUCUUGAGCCUCCGCCAUAGGUGGCAAAUCCAUAGGCUUAUGCAUAAUGGGAAGCUGACGCUAUUUUGUCUUUUGCUUACGGUGUUCGUUUUACGAGGAAAUCUGGGAGCUGGAAAAUUUCAUACGCCAAAGAAGGACUUGGAUAAGAAUUGAGAAAUAUUUUCAUAGAUUCGUAGGUGGGUCGAGCCACGCUGUAUGGUAGAAGAGGCAACAGUGCUUAAAGACAGCAAAAAUACAGUUCAUCGACUGAUGCUUCGAAAAAUGUUAGUAAUAAGGAAGAUAUUGAAGGAUGAAAAUGAUGGAAUCGAAGAAUUUAAACUAUUUUUUGGUAGGGUUUGUAGAGUGGGAUGAGGUGGUGUCAAGAUCCGGCAGUUUAUCCGACAUUACGUGGGUAGUGGCGACAAUGUCGGAGGUUGUCUGUG
rnacentral:lncRNA from 1 species